GUUGAAACACCUGCUCUCGUGCGAUCCGCGAGGUUAAGCAUGGUCGACUCUGGUCAGUACCUAGGUGGGUGACCGCUUAGUAAUACCAGCUGUUGUAAU